rnacentral:rRNA from 1 species
GACGAACGCUGGCGGCGUGCUUAACACAUGCAAGUCGAACGGAAAGGCCCUGCUUUUGUGGGGUGCUCGAGUGGCAAACGGGUGAGUAACACGUGAGUAACCUGCCCUUGACUUCGGGAUAACUUCAGGAAACUGGGGCUAAUACCGGAUAGGAGCUCCUGCUGCAUGGUGGGGGUUGGAAAGUUUCGGCGGUUGGGGAUGGACUCGCGGCUUAUCAGCUUGUUGGUGGGGUAGUGGCUUACCAAGGCUUUGACGGGUAGCCGGCCUGAGAGGGUGACCGGCCACAUUGGGACUGAGAUACGGCCCAGACUCCUACGGGAGGCAGCAGUGGGGAAUAUUGCACAAUGGGCGGAAGCCUGAUGCAGCAACGCCGCGUGCGGGAUGACGGCCUUCGGGUUGUAAACCGCUUUCGCCUGUGACGAAGCGUGAGUGACGGUAAUGGGUAAAGAAGCACCGGCUAACUACGUG